rnacentral:rRNA from 1 species
GACGAACGCUGGCGGCGUGCUUAACACAUGCAAGUCGAACGGAAAGGCCCUGCUCUUGUGGGGUGCUCGAGUGGCGAACGGGUGAGUAACACGUGAGUAACCUGCCCUUGACUUUGGGAUAACUUCAGGAAACUGGGGCUAAUACCGGAUAUGAGCUCCUGCUGCAUGGUGGGGGUUGGAAAGUUUCGGCGGUUGGGGAUGGACUCGCGGCUUAUCAGCUUGUUGGUGGGGUAGUGGCUUACCAAGGCUUUGACGGGUAGCCGGCCUGAGAGGGUGACCGGCCAAAUUGGGACUGAGAGACGGCACAGACUACUACGGGAGGCAGGAGUAGAGAAUAUUGCACAAUGGGCGGAAGCGUGAUGCAGCAACGCCGCGUGCGGGAUGACGGCCUUCGGGUUGUAAACCGCUUUCGCCUGUGACGAAGCGUGGGUGACGGUAAUGGGUAAAGAAGCACCGGCUAACUACGU